rnacentral:rRNA from 1 species
UACGUAUGGAGCAAGCGUUAUCCGGAUUUACUGGGUGUAAAGGGAGCGUAGGCGGUCCUGCAAGUCUGAUGUGAAAGGCCGGGGCUCAACCUCGGGACUGCAUUGGAAACUGUAGGACUAGAGUGUCGGAGGGGUAAGUGGAAUUCCUAGUGUAGCGGUGAAAUGCGUAGAUAUUAGGAGGAACACCAGUGGCGAAGGCGGCUUACUGGACGACUACUGACGCUGAGGCUCGAAAGCGUGGGGAGCAAACAGG